AAACCGCUUAGGGGUUAAGCCCGAUGAACCUGAAUAUCUGAAAUGAGAAAUUCAAUAUUAUGUUAUUUAUUUAACUAGUAUGCACUUUUCUCAUAGUAAGACAUUGCGAUCCAUUAGUAAUUUGAAUUUAUUAAACGGCCCGUAUGUACAGUUUAUUCUAUCUGUAAUGAUUUUUAAUUAUUAUAUGAGUAAAUACAUUGCGGUGUCCUAAUAAAUAGCUGAUGGAGCUUAAAAAUCAUACAAACAUACAUGUAUGUAUCACAAUUUAAUAAUAAUAUAUUAUUUUAUGUAGUGAUUGUAUGUAUUUGAUUAGCAAUGCGAUAGAUUUGGGAUACCUUCGGGACCCGUCUUGUAACACGGACCAAGAAGUCUAACAUGUGUGCAAGUCAUUGGGUAUUGUUUGUUGAAACCUAAAGGCAUAAUUAAAAUAACUAUUUUUAAUGGGAUUACAAGUGAUUUUUAUAUUAGAUUACUUCUCCAUCCCGGGGCGUUCUAUACGAACAUGAUUAAAGCAAUUUGAUCCUCUGUUCAAGAGCGUACCUUGAGCAUACAUGCUGUGACCCGAAAGAUGGUGAACUAUACCUGAUCAGGUUGAAGUCAGGGGAAACCCUGAUGGAGGACUGAAGCAGUUCUGACGUGCAAAUCGAUUGUCAGAAUUGGGUAUAGGGGCGAAAGACCAAUCGAACCAUCUAGUAGCUGGUUCCCUCCGAAGUUUCCCUCAGGAUAGCUGGUGCAAUGAUUAUUCUACAUAUAUAAUCUUAUCUGGUAAAGCGAAUGAUUAGAGGCCUUGGGGCCGAAACGACCUCAACCUAUUCUCAAACUUUAAAUGGGUAAGAACCUCAUCUUUCUUGAUCUGAAGAUAUAGAGGUUUAGAUAUAUUGUGCCCAGUGGGCCACUUUUGGUAAGCAGAACUGGCGCUGUGGGAUGAACCAAACGUGAUGUUACGGCGCCAAAAUUAAUGACUCAUAUUGAUACCAUGAAAGGCGUUGGUUGCUUAAAACAGCAGGACGGUGGACAUGGAAGUCGUAAUCCGCUAAGGAGUGUGUAACAACUCACCUGCCGAAGCAACUAGCCCUUAAAAUGGAUGGCGCUCAAGUCAUAUGCCUAUACAUCACCGCUAGAAUAAAAAAAUAUAUAUAUAAUUUAUUAUUAUAUAUUUAUCAAAUUCUAGUGAGUAGGAGGGUACAAUGGUGUGCGCAGAAGUGUUUGGCGUGAGCCUGCAUGGAGCCGCCAUUGGCACAGAUCUUGGUGGUAGUAGCAAAUAAUCGAAUGAGAUCUUGGAGGACUGAAGUGGAGAAGGGUUUCGUGUGAACAGUGGUUGAUCACGAGUUAGUCGGUCCUAAGCUCUAUGCGAAAGCUGUUUAAUUUAUGUU
rnacentral:rRNA from 1 species